GAUGAACGCUGGCGGCGUGCCUAAUACAUGCAAGUCGAGCGAACAGAUGAGGAGCUUGCUCCUCUGACGUUAGCGGCGGACGGGUGAGUAACACGUGGAUAACCUACCUAUAAGACUGGGAUAACUUCGGGAAACCGGAGCUAAUACCGGAUCAUAUAUUGAACCGCAUGGUUCAAUAGUGAAAGACGGUUUUGCUGUCACUUAUAGAUGGAUCCGCGCCGCAUUAGCUAGUUGGUAAGGUAACGGCUUACCAAGGCAACGAUGCGUAGCCGACCUGAGAGGGUGAUCAGCCACACUGGAACUGAGACACGGUCCAGACUCCUACGGGAGGCAGCAGUAGGGAAUCUUCCGCAAUGGGCGAAAGCCUGACGGAGCAACGCCGCGUGAGUGAAGAAGGUCUUCGGAUCGUAAAACUCUGUUAUUAGGGAAGAACAACUGUGUAAGUAACUAUGCACGUCUUGACGGUACCUAAUGAGAAAGCCACGGCUAACUACGUG
rnacentral:rRNA from 1 species